rnacentral:rRNA from 1 species
GAUGAACGCUAGCGGCAGGCCUAACACAUGCAAGUCGAGGGAGGAGCCUUCGGGCUUCGACCGGCGUACGGGUGCGUAACGCGUAUACAAUCUGCCUUUCACAUAGGGAUAGCCCGAAGAAAUUUGGAUUAAUACCUAAUGGUAUAUAGAUGUGGCAUCACCUUUAUAUUAAAGCUGAGGCGGUGAAAGAUGAGUAUGCGUUCUAUUAGCUAGUUGGAGAGGUAACGGCUCCCCAAGGCGACGAUAGAUAGGGGUUCUGAGAGGGAUAUCCCCCACACUGGUACUGAGAUACGGACCAGACUCCUACGGGAGGCAGCAGUGAGGAAUAUUGGACAAUGGUCGGAAGACUGAUCCAGCCAUGCCGCGUGCAGGAAGACGGCCUUAUGGGUGGUAAACUGCUUUUGCAGGGGAAGAAUAAGGACUACGCGUAGUUUGAUGACGGUACUCUGCGAAUAAGCAUCGGCUAACUCCGUG